GCCGACGUAGCUCAGUGGUAGAGCAGCGGUUUCGUAAACCGCAGGUCAUGGGUUCGAGUCCCAUUGUCGGCU
rnacentral:tRNA from 1 species